CGCGGAUCCGUGGGGCACGCGGAUCCGUGGGGCGCGUGGGCGUGGGGGGCGGGCUCAGGGAUCUGUGGGGCGCGUGGAUCACGGGGGCACCUGGGUCUACAGGGUGCAGAUCUAUGGGGCGCACAUCUAUGGGGCGCGCGGAUCUGUGGGGCGCCCGGAUGUACGGGGGAGCCGCUCGCGCCGAGGACGCCGCAGCCGCUGCCCGGAGCCCGCGGGCGGCCGGUAGGUGUGGGGCAGGGGCCGCGCCGUGGGGCGCCGUGGGGCAGCAAGCCCCGCCCCUCACCCCGCCCCCCUCCCUCUCUUCUCUUGCAGCCCCGCCCCCCCGAAGGCAAGCCCCGCCCCCUUUCCCUUUGAACCCCGCCCCUUUCCCUCCGAGCCACGCCCGCCCCCUCCAAACCCCGCCUCCUCCCUCUCGAGCCCCGCCCCUUGUUUUGACCCCUCCUUUUCAAGCCCCGCCCCUGUCUUUAAGCCCCUCCCUUUUCUCUAAGCCCCUCCCUUUUCCACAGCCCCGCCCCUUUCUCAAGCCCCGCCCCCUUUCUCCGCGUUUUACAGAUAAAGACAAAAGGCCAACGGCA